CACUGAACUGGAGGAAACUCUUGCUGCAGCGACGCCGCGUUGAGCGAUGAAGGCCUUCGGGUCGUAAAGCCCCGUCGUAUGGGAAUAAGAAAGCGAAUGUACCAUGCAAGAAAGGAUCGGCUAACGUCGUGCCAGCAGCCGCGGUAAGACGAGGGAUCCUAGCGUUGUUCGGAAUCAUUGGGCGUAAAGCGGGCGUAGGUGGCUUUAUAAGCCAGGUGUGAAAUCCCCGGGCUCAACCCGGGACGUGCACUUGAUACUGUUUAGCUUGAGUGUGGAAGAGGUGAGUGGAAUUCCAGGUGUAGUGGUGAAAUACGUAGAUAUCUGGAGGAACACCGGUGGCGAAAGCGGCUCACUGGUCCAACACUGACACUGAAGCCCGAAA
rnacentral:rRNA from 1 species